GACGAACGCUGGCGGCGUGCCUAAUACAUGCAAGUCGAACGCAGUGGGGACGGGUGAGUAACACGUGGGUAACCUCCCAUCAGAGGGGAUAACACUUGGAAACAGGUGCUAAACCGAUACUGAUGGAUGGACCCGCGGUGGAGUAGCUAGGUGGUUAGGUAACGGCUCACCAAGGCCACGAGGCAUAGCCGACAUGAGAGGGUGGUCGGCCACACAUGGACUGAGACACGGCCCAGACUCCUACGGGCGGCAGCAGUAGGGGAUGUUCUGCAAUGGACGAAAGUCUGACCGGGCCACGCCGCGUGAGUGAAGAAGGUUUUCGGAUCGUAAAGCGCUGUUGUUAGAGAAGCGGUAUCUAACCAGAAAGCCACGGCUAACUACGUGCCAGCAGCCGCGGUAAUAC
rnacentral:rRNA from 1 species